GUCGCUGAUCUGGGUAGUCGAAGGUUGGGCUGUUCAUCGUCUCGAAUAUUUGAAACUCCAGGGAGGUAAAGUACGAAAAAAAGCAAUAAAUAAGAAAACUGAUGACGCAGCCACGUGUCACACAUCAGUUGAAGAAAUAGGAGAAACCUUGAUGAAUGGUUUUUAGUCGUCAAGCUGUUGGUAAUUGAACUGAGGACAUUUGAAAUGCAGCUGUUUUCCCAUUUGGUGUAUCUUUGGACUUUCCCCGCCAGCUUCUGGUCUUCCUUUUCCAUACGUCUGGCUGAUAGGAUGGCAGAAAAGGCAAGAGAAAGUGUGUUGAGUGUAAGGACUUAGAACCUUUUCAACCAUGGAGUGAUGACUGGGAUGUCAUAAGUGCACUGUGUCAACUCUCGUUCUGAUUCUUCAUUGCUGUUUUCAAUGUUUGGAUCUGGAUGAGCUAGCCACUUCGUCAGGCCUCUCUCUUCAUCUGUACCUUAUAAGGAAAUUUUCUUUUGCAGUAAAAAAGAUGUUUCUAGUUACACAAUUUGGCUUAAUUUAGUUACCUGGAAUUGUGUUGUCCAAAAAGAAGCCUAGUACUCCUGCUGUGAACAUGCUUGUGCUCAUUAAAACAGUGGCGAUCUGAUCAAAAAUCUGCGAUCCACUGUCAAUGGCGCCAGGAUGAGCUUUCAUCCAUUGUGAAAGAACCUGUACAAUAAAUCUACUCAACUUUGUGUUUCUAGAUUGGCCAAACCGGUAGCUGCAAUCAUUCCAAAUAGGACGCAAAAGAUGCCUCCGAUGAUGGGCUCUGGAAUGGUAAUAAAAAGUGCUCCAAAUUUGGACAAAACACCAAAGACCAUCAUCAUUAAAGCUGCAGCUUGUAUCACUCUCCUACUUCCCACCUAAAGGCUCCGAUGUUUUCCGAAUAACUUGUCGUUCCAUUGCCAGAGCCCCAAAUUCCAGCCAGGAUGCACCCGAGACCUUCUAUAGCGAUCCCUCGGUUCAUGGCGUGGACUGGAGGUGGUCGUGCACCUGCCAAUCUAGCGCAAGCAUAGUAAUCUCCAAUGCUCUCGAUAGCCGAUGCCAAAACACCCGCCAACAUUCCAAACACCGCCGCCACACUCACCGUUGGUAGACCCCACUGACCUAUUCGAUAAAUGCCCCAGUGUUUGCCGGCCAUGUUCCCUGCUGCGCCGAAAAGCGACAAUCCCACCAUGACAAUGGCAGGGGCGAUCGUUAGAGGAGUGAUGAAUCGCAGAAUCAAGCCAACGAUUCCUUCCAAGAAAAUUCUAAGUAUGCCGCAAGAUGCCAAUCAUAAAAUUCAAACAAUACCAAAAACGCCAAUAGCAAGUUGAAAGACGGAAGCGACGACAAUGGCACCUUGCACCUCUCUCAUCCUCAAUUGCCAUAAUUCCGUUUUGUCCUCAUAAGUCAUGUUGGCCAUGACUUCCGGCGCUGGGCACGACCAUUCAGGCAGAUUCAAAAUCGCAAACGUAGGCACCAAGAAAGCGAACGUACCUCCUUGAACUAUAGUGCACUGAAGUAGAGUGAUGAUUCCCGAUACAAAGAUGAUGGUCGAAACGAUAGCGCUUCGAACGGGGUCAUUCUCUUCGACGCACAAGGCCGGCGUCAAAAUAAAGGGGACAGAUAUUGUGCCUCCAAACAUCAUCAAAUAGUGCUGUGAAAAGAAAGGGAACGGAUGAAAAACUUUUGAAUUUCGGAACUGUCGCUGGAGGCGGAAGCCUUUGUAUUUAGGGGGGAAAAAUAGGACAUCUAGCGACCUAGAUCCAAAGACGCGCAUAAACACACACCAAAACGGCCGCGGUAUGAGAGACAGGAAAGAUGCCACGGUGGAACGUCAUCGACCGAGUAGAGUAAAGCAUGCUGAUGCGGUUGUCUGAUUGACUCGGUUACAUCCAUUUGAUUUUCUUCUUUUUGCUGAUCCAUUUCGGUACCCUUCCGUUGAGAGCUAGAUUUGUUUGACCGUUGCUGGCCAUCCUAAUGGUUUCCUGAACUUAACAACUGAUUCACCUGCAGUAGUACAUUGGCUCCGAGUGGGACGCGUUUACCUGAGUAACUAUUUUUCCGUGCCGGCUCAUCUUGGGCUACUUUUAGAGUCGACUAUUUUUUUCGAUUUCCUAGAAGUCGACUUGGCCGUACUAUCGAUAGCAACAUUUUGUUUUGUUUUCGGUGUUCCGUUAUUCUCCUUUUUCCACCUUCAAUUCCGUUCAAUGUCUGUUUGUUUUGAUUUGAAUUUAUUUACGAAAAUUGGUUUCCUCGCGUGAGCUUUCGAACAGAUUCGGGAAUGAACAAUUGAGCGUUAUUGUGGGUGCGCGUGAAUAUGCAACAGCAAAGGCCAAUUCAGGCUGUUCCUGUUGCCGAAUACCACAAUAGGGUCUCGCAUAAAGAACAAAAAAGAAACUGUUGAACAAACAAUUGUUCGAGAGGCAGAUUCUGACUUUUAUACUGUUACGUUUAGUUAAUGAGAUCCUUAACGUAUGGCAAGGCAUUAAUAGGGAUUUCUUAAUUGUAUAGUUUUUACAUUUUUCUGUAUGGAAGGGAACAGCAAGGACUGAAGGCUGUAAUACCAUCGGGGGACGAUUGGAACAAUUAUACUUUUGUAACUUCCGUCAAAUGAGAUACGUUAUUGAAGGAAAAUGAACUAUUGUGGGUCUGGAUCUUGAUGUUAAGGAAUGCUGGAUGUAUUCCCCAGUGACCGUAGAUCAAUUUCGAGGAUACGUAGCAAAGGGCUUCAUGUAAGUAUGAAGCCCCAAAUCACAAAGUCAUAGUUACGAUUCCUGGUAGACAAUAGCUGAAAGCUCAUGGGGGGUCAGCAAACUCAUUCUUUUUCAUCCUUAUUUUUAAUCUGUUGUUGUCAGGUGUUCGCCAUUGUAGCAAUUGCCAUGAACUUGUAACACCUUCACUGCUGAAUCUUAUCAUUGGUAAGUUUUUCAACAUUAUUUGAAUUUUGCAGAAAUAUUACUGAGAAGAAAUCCUACUUAAUCAUACAAGUAUUUCUGUCCAGUGAUUCUCGGAAGAUUAUCGCGCACGCAAAGAGAAAUAAACAAAUUUAAUUAAUUUUUCUAACAUAUUUUAUCAAACCAUUUGCCUGAGACAGUUAUAGGUCAUCCACUAUUGAAACUGAACUGGUAGGAACUUGGGGAGUGGUGCAGGAGCAAUACCACACGUUGAAGAACAACAGCACACAGCCAGCCCAUGCACAAUACCGCACGUUUAAUGUAUCCGCAUACUAUUUCUCGUGCUUUUGUGCUAUUUUGCCAAUUGAUUCUCUGGUGUCAUCUGCCGAUUGACUUUGUCUAUUUAUCCGCUUUGCGCUUUUACUUAACACCAUAGAAAUAGAAUUAACAAAUUCACGUAAAUGCACUUCUCCCAUUAAAAAACUCCAAGCAAUUCUUUCAAAAACUUUAUUUGUGGUUAUAUAUUGCAACACAAGAUGGCGCUGCUCUUUCUCAGUAUUUGACUGUUUGUGUCGAAUCUGUGUGCGAAUGUUUGUUAACUGUGUUAAAAUUCGAUAUAAACUGAUUGUGUCAUCUACUUUUGAGUGUUUUCAAUCUUUUAUGUGUUAUUCAAGUGAAGAACAUCAAAUGGAUAAUUGGUGUGCAAUGGCUAAAUUUUUGAACAGCUAUGCCAGCUGCUGAAUUGUGAAAAACUGUUGGCAACCAACUACUUUUGCAUUCAAUCAAGUUAUUCUAUCACUAAUUGAGAGCUUGUGAAACCUAUAAAUGGUAAAGGAUGUCGCCUAAGGAGAAAGGUUACGAAUAACACAAAUCCUAUGGUUUAAAUACCAUCAUCUCAUUCUGACGUCCUUAAUCCAUUCAACAAUUCAUCUCAGCUGUUAUUUGACAAGUGCACUGUAUUUUUUGUCAGCAAUCAUUAACCAUCACCAUUUCAGCAACCUUCUUCUCACUUCUAGUGAGCCUCUCAAGUGACCAGAUUUUGUGUUGAGCUCGUGGAACUAAAAGUGCAAAGGGUGCUGGCCCUGAUGGAUUUGACAAGUGCACCGUAUGCUGUGUUUGCAAUCAUUAACUACCACCAUUUCAGCAAUCAUCUCAUCAUUUCUACUGAACCUUUUGUGUGAAAGGAUUUUGUGUUCAGAGUUCGUGGAACUUAAAAUGCAAAGGAUACUGGCCCUGAAGGAAAGUCAUCAACGAUGCAAAAUUUGUGGAUUGGAAUAUCUCAUGUAUUGGUUCUUUUAGCCACUCAUCAUUUCAUUUUGCCAACCAACACACGUCUUUGGCCCGCCCGUCACCCAAUCUUCAGCUCGCCCGUCGCCCCGUCUUCGCCUCGCCCGUCGCCCCGUCUUUGGCUCGCCCGUCGUCCCGUCUUUGGCUCGCCCGUCGCCCCGUCUUCGCCUCGCCCGUCGCCUCGCCCGUCGCCCCGUCUUCGCCUCGCCCGUCGCCCCGUCUUCGCCUCGUCAUCGCCUCGUCUUUGUUGGUAUCGUUGUAUUUAGUAAUGUGUUUGUGCUAAUUAACCCGUUGGCUGCCACCCACUUUGAUCCCCUUUUUUUUUUAGCUUGUUAGGGUCCGGCAGCGCUGUUCUGCCCAAUGGUCUAUAUGCCAUGGGUGGGACAGUUGCACAAGCCGUGUGGCUCAAAGUCGAUCGUCGAGGCAAUGCACCAUUAGGAACUCCCCCUUGUCGAUGCUUUGAUGGUUGCCUGGGGUGUGCAUUCCCGUAACGGCUUCCAUCAUCGUGUCAGCCCGGACUUGUCUUCGGACAAGUCCCCCUUGGUCGUGAUCCCUCUGAUGGCGAUGUAGAUAGCGUAGUUGUAGUGGCGUGGCAGCCAACGGGUUAGUUAAGUGUAUUUGUGUAUGUAUUGUAUAUGUGUUGUAUUGUAUUGUGAAAUGUAAAAUGUAGUGGUGGAAUUGUGGGUG